rnacentral:rRNA from 1 species
UACAGAGGUCUCAAGCGUUGUUCGGAUUCAUUGGGCGUAAAGGGCGCGUAGGCGGCUUGACAAGUCACUUGUGAAAUCUCCGGGCUUAACUCGGAACGGCCAAGUGAAACUGUCAUGCUAGAGUGCAGAAGGGGCAAUCGGAAUUCUUGGUGUAGCGGUGAAAUGCGUAGAUAUCAAGAGGAACACCUGAGGUGAAGACGGGUUGCUGGGCUGACACUGACGCUGAUGCGCGAAAGCCAGGGGAGCAAACGGG